ACUCCUACGGGAGGCAGCAGUGGGGAAUAUUGCACAAUGGGCGCAAGCCUGAUGCAGCCAUGCCGCGUGUGUGAAGAAGGCCUUCGGGUUGUAAAGCACUUUCAGUCGUGAGGAAGGUGGUAGUGUUAAUAGCACUAUCAUUUGACGUUAGCGACAGAAGAAGCACCGGCUAACUCCGUGCCAGCAGCCGCGGUAAUACGGAGGGUGCGAGCGUUAAUCGGAAUUACUGGGCGUAAAGCGCAUGCAGGUGGUUUGUUAAGUCAGAUGUGAAAGCCCGGGGCUCAACCUCGGAAUUGCAUUUGAAACUGGCAGACUAGAGUACUGUAGAGGGGGGUAGAAUUUCAGGUGUAGCGGUGAAAUGCGUAGAGAUCUGAAGGAAUACCGGUGGCGAAGGCGGCCCCCUGGACAGAUACUGACACUCAGAUGCGAAAGCGUGGGGAGCAAACAGGAUUAGAUACCCUGGUA
rnacentral:rRNA from 1 species